AUGAGUAACAGAAAUCCUGAUACAUGGAGAUUUAAAUGGGCCUCUGGACACUACAAUGCUAAGAAAGUCUACCUUGAGUACUUGGGAUGCCCAGAGAAAGCUCCCAAGCCUUUCCAAUGGAUUUGGAAGUCUGGUUGCCUACCUAAGCAAAAAUUCUUUUUCUGGCUACUUCUUCUGGACAGGUUAAACAAUAGAGAUCUUCUCACCAGGAAAAGUUUCUACAUUGAAAGCACCGUCUGUGUGUUAUGUGAUGAUGAGCCUAAUGAGUACAUGAAACAUCUUUUUUUCAUGUGAUUUCAGCCAAAUUUUUUGUUAUCAAUUGGUUUUGAAUGGAACACUGAUCUGAGCUGCAAUGAGAUUCUUAUUGAAGCCAGAAACAGAACUUAGAUUCAACCCUUUAAAGAAUGCCUAAUUGCUGGUUGUUGGACCAUCUGGAAACAUAGGAAUGGCAUCAUUUUUGACAACAAAGAAAGGGAUUUGAGCUACUGUAUCUCCUGCUGCAAGGACCACUUUGGCACCAUCAUGAAAAGAGUCAGACCUAGUUUAAAGGAGGGAAUGCAAAGCUGGUUGGAUUAUUUGUAG
rnacentral:rRNA from 1 species